rnacentral:rRNA from 1 species
CCUACGGGAGGCAGCAGUGGGGAAUAUUGCACAAUGGGGGAAACCCUGCUGCAGCAACGCCGCGUGAAGGAAGACGGUUUUCGGAUUGUAACCGUCUGUUCUUAGUGAAGAAGGAUGACGGGAGCUAAGCAGCAAGACACGUCUAACCAGGUGCCAGCAGCCGCGGUAAUACGUAGGUGGCAAGCGUUGACCGGAAUUAGUGGGCGUAAAUGAAACGGAGGCGGGAAGUCAAGUCAGCUGUGAAAACUACGGGCUUAACUUGUAGACUGGAGUUGAGACUGGUCUUCUUGAGUGAAGUAGAGGUUGGCGGAAUUCCGAGUGUAGCGGUGAAAUGCGUAGAUAUGUGGAGGAACACCGGUGGCGAAGGCGGCCACCUGGGCUUUAACUGACGCUGAGGUUCGAAAGUGUGGGGAGCAAACAGGAUUAGAUACCCCAGUAGUC